rnacentral:rRNA from 1 species
UGCAAGUCAAACGCGAAAGCGGACUUCGGUCCGCAAGUAGAGUGGCAAACGGGUGAGUAUCGCGUGGGUGACCUACCUUCGAGUGGGGGAUAACCCUCCGAAAGGAGGGCUAAUACCGCAUAACAUCCCGCUCUUGGACGAGCGGUGAUCAAAGUCGGGGAUCGCAAGACCUGGCGCUUGUUGAGGGGCCCGCGUCCGAUUAGCUUGUUGGUGGGGUAACGGCUCACCAAGGCUCCGAUCGGUAGCCGGCCUGAGAGGGCGGACGGCCACACUGGGACUGAGACACGGCCCAGACUCCUACGGGAGGCAGCAGUAAGGAAUUGUUCGCAAUGGGCGAAAGCCUGACGACGCAAUGCCGCGUGGAGGACGAAGAUCUUCGGGUCGUAAACUCCUGUCGAGCGGGAAGAACAACGCUCGGAUUAAUACCCCGAGCGCCUGACGGUACCGCUAAAGGAAGCCCCGGCUAACUCCGUGCCAGCAGCCGCGGUAAUACGGGGGGGGCAAGCGUUGUUCGGAUUUACUGGGCGUAAAGGGCUCGUAGGCGGCCAACUAAGUCGGUUGUGAAAUCCCUCGGCUCAACCGGGGAACUGCGACCGAGACUGGAUGGCUUGAAGCCGGGAGAGGGAUGCGGAAUUCCAGGUGUAGCGGUGAAAUGCGUAGAUAUCUGGAGGAACACCCGUGGCGAAGGCGGCAU